rnacentral:tRNA from 1 species
UGGCUUAUAGUUCAAUGGAAGAAUGCCACGCUACGAACUUGGUGACAACCGAGCAACGCGAAGGUUGCGAGCGAGGAGGAACGAGGAACGAUGUUCCGACGAAGUUCUGUUCGACUCUUCUUAAGCCAG